UAGUAUGGGGAUCUGCCCGAUAGAGGGGGGUAACUACUGGAAACGGUGGCUAAUACCGCAUAAUGUCUACGGACCAAAGCAGGGGCUCUUCGGACCUUGCACUAUCGGAUGAACCCAUAUGGGAUUAGCUAGUAGGUGUGGUAAAGGCUCACCUAGGCGACGAUCUCUAGCUGGUCUGAGAGGAUGAUCAGCCACACUGGGACUGAGACACGGCCCAG
rnacentral:rRNA from 1 species